GGAACGUAGCUGGAGAAAUUUCACAGGAAUAUGCUAAGCGACAGAGCGAAGAAGUUCCAAUCAAGGAUCUUAUGGAGCUUGUUCAACAAAUAGUUGCUUUUCACAUGAAGCACAAUGCCGAGCCUGAAGUUGUUGAUCUUCUAAUGGA